rnacentral:rRNA from 1 species
UACAGAGGGGGCAAGCGUUGUUCGGAAUUACUGGGCGUAAAGGGCGCGUAGGCGGCCUUCUAAGUCGAACGUGAAAUCCCCGGGCUCAACCCGGGAACUGCGUCCGAUACUGGAAGGCUUGAAUCCGGGAGAGGGAUGUGGAAUUCCAGGUGUAGCGGUGAAAUGCGCAGAUAUCAGGAGGAACACCGGUGGCGAAGGCGGGUCUCUGGGCCGAUACUGACACUGAGGAGCGAAAGCGUGGGGAGCGAACAGG